UUCAUGUCUGAUUUAACACAUGAAUAGGUGGGAUCUCAAAUAAACAUCAUGGUGGACCUUCAGAAGGUUUCAACGACGGGUGUUACUCUCAUCGCUGUUUUCUGUGGUGGGGUCCACCCCAGUCUUGGAUCUGCCUAGUUCUUUGGACCAUGCUCUAAAAUGAUCUGUACAAAUGUAUGGACGGUGUUGAUACUACACAUACAUCAUGUUGGGCUCACAUAAGUUGGUGACGUCACUUCAGUAGCCAGUCUCGCUACUCAACCUGUCAUAGGCUUGAUAACAUUCAAAGCUUCUAUAACCCUUCAAACGCAUAAUUGGCAAAGUUGUGCAGCAAUCCAGACCAUCCAAAUUGCUGAUCCAACUGCAGAUGGAACCUCUGAUUUUUUAUAUUUUUAAUACCCUUUAGAAUGUGGACCAUCUACUAUUUUACUUUUAA